AUCGUGGGAAAACUGGAUGAUUGGAUUGGGAUAUGAUCCAGAGGGCUUCAGCAUUGUCAAAUGCUAUGAUGACGAAUACAAUGGAAAUUCAGACCUUGGUGAUCUCUUUAUUGUGGAAUGUACAAGUCUUAUCAAAAGGUUCUAUCAUGCUGGAGUGUGCUGAGAUGAAGAGGAGAUCAUUCAUUUUACACAUAAAACAUAUUUUUUAUAAUUGUACCUUGACAUAGAGAAACUCACAGUGUAACUAAUCAAACAAAAAUAAAAGUUUCUGUAUCACAGUGAUGCCAUUAUCUGUAAUUAAGUAUAAUUAAGCAUGGUCUUUAUUGAGAUUUUUCUCUUUAUUCUUAUUACAGGAAACCAGUAUAUUGACAUGUUUUGGUUUUUUUUCAUUUUCCCCCCACUAGAAUCAGAUUCAUCAUCUAGCUCAGCUAGUAGUUUCUCCUCUUCCAGUUCCUUUUCCAGUUCCUCUUCCAGUUCCUGUCCAGGUCGUGUAAGCAAAGUGUGUGUGGAUGACUUUACUGGAGGGCAGAAAUUUGCAAUUUAUAGAAAGAAAGAUGGAAUCCCUGCAUCGUUUAAAAAGAAUGUUAAAAAUGCAAUGAAGAAAAAAACAAACUAUGAUCUUUUGACGUACAACUGUAUUCAUUUUGCCAUGGAGAUUUUGGAAGUAUGGGCAAAGUAGGGAGAUCCUUAAACAGUUUCAACUUUCAGCCAAAGCUCACUGGAAGACGUUGCUGUUGGACGAACAGACAAGCCAACGCUCUGAUGAUGGAAGAAGCAGAUUUCAUUCUUUUUUAUAUUUAGAUGGUUUUCCUCACAACACUUAUAACAUUGUUAAAUUUACUUCUAAAAUUGUUAAAUACUUCUAAAAUUAAUAAAAUUGUUCUUUACUUACUGUC